UACGUAGGUGGCGAGCGUUAUCCGGAAUUAUUGGGCGUAAAGAGCGCGCAGGUGGUUGAUUAAGUCUGAUGUGAAAGCCCACGGCUUAACCGUGGAGGGUCGUUGGAAACUGGUCGACUUGAGUGCAGAAGAGGGAAGUGGAAUUCCAUGUGUAGCGGUGAAAUGCGUAGAGAUAUGGAGGAACACCAGUGGCGAAGGCGGCUUCCUGGUCUGUAACUGACACUGAGGCGCGAAAGCGUGGGGAGCAAACAGGAUUAGAUACCCCCGUAGU
rnacentral:rRNA from 1 species